GAUGAACGCUGGCGGCGUGCUUAACACAUGCAAGUCGAACGGAAAGGCCCAAGCUUGCUUGGGUACUCGAGUGGCGAACGGGUGAGUAACACGUGGGUGAUCUGCCCUGCACUUCGGGAUAAGCCUGGGAAACUGGGUCUAAUACCGGAUAGGACCACUUCUUGGAUGUUGUGGUGGAAAGUUUUUUGGGUGUGGGAUGAGCUCGCGGCCUAUCUGCUUGUUGGUGGGGUAAUGGCCUACCAAGGCGUCGACGGGUAGCCGGCCUGGGAGGGUGUACGGCCACAUUGGGACUGGGAUACGGCCCAGACGCCUACGGGAGGCAGCAGUGGGGAAUAUUGCACAAUGGGCGCAAGCCUGAUGCAGCGACGCCGCGUGGGGGAUGACGGCCUUCGGGUUGGAAACUCCUUUCGCUAGGGACGAAGCGUUUUGUGACGGUACCUGGAGAAGAAGCACCGGCUAACUACGUG
rnacentral:rRNA from 1 species